CCGAAUCUCAUAUGAACAAAAAAAAAACUUGAAACAAAAUUAUGAAAGCACACCAAACUUUUUAAUAUUUAAAAAUAUCAUUUUGGUUGAAAAAUAAUUUUUCUGUGAUGUCUACAUCAAAACAAUUCUCAGAAAAAUUAACACCACUUAAGCAAAUAUACCAUGAGUACAUUUAAAAUAAUUGAAACAAGAAAAGAGAAAAAAAGGAGAAACAUAUAUAAUAACCCUUGAUCAGGCAUGAAAUGAUUUUAAACAUUUAAAUAGUAAAUAUAAUCAAAAGAUCCUUUACAAAAUAAGAUAUAGGAGGCUCAGAUUCAUCUUUUGUCAAUCACAAGAACAGACCAUAGGUCUUCCCUCUUCUUGCCCAAAUCCCAUCCUAAGAGAUAGACAUGACUGAAGUGGUUGCCAUGAAGGCCAUCCAAACUGCCUCGCCAUCAUCCUAUUAAGAUUGGAAAACCGAGCAUUGAAAGAGACCAUAAAGCCUUUAUGCUUCAUACAAAUGCAUAAGAAUCUGUGACUUGCCAACACCAUGGAGAAACAAUCUUGCGUUUAAAGGCCCAAAUGGUGAUUGGUCAAAUCCAUCAUUGACUUUUAUUUAUCAUCAUAGCCUCUUCGUAAUUGAAAAGCAAGAUACCGAGAAACAAAGAUGAAAACAAUACAGUGAAAUUUAUAAAAAUAAAUAAAUAAAUCAUCAAAGCUAUUAAAAGAUAAAAAGAAAAAAGGUUGGAAGAAAAGAAGCAAUCAUCUUGAAUGUAUUAUUUCUUUCCCCACACCAAAACAAGCUCCAUAUCCCCUAAAUACCUCAGUUAAAUUAGAAACCUAAUUGAGAAUAAAAAAACUAGAGAACUAUUUAUUUUUACGGCAGACAAUGAUCAUUUAUUAUUAUUUUACAUAAUCUAGCUUAAUCAAUGCUUAACCAGGGGCAACAAUGUCAUCAACACAAUUGCAACAGCUACUACCUGAACAAGAAUUUGCACAAACGGUACAAAGAAUCAUAUACAUUAUGGGGCAUAGGAUUUAAGCCCGGAAUAACAAACAAGUACAAGCAAUAGUACGACAACAAACAUAGGAAACAAUUUAUCUGACAUGGCAAGAACAGCCCCAAUAACCACAUACGCACUCCCCUAGAUGCUUCAUUGCUUCAAACAAUAACGAUUUACCUAGACAUAAAAGUGUUUUGCAAGCAUAAAUCCAUGACAAUGUGAGCAAAAAGGUUCUGUUCAUUUUAAAAAGAAAACCUUCUAAGUUUGGAACCCCAAAUUGUACUCAUACAAAGUUCCCAACAAAUACAAUUUGCUGUAGCAAAACUCAAAGACUUUAUUUAACAAGACCAAUUAUCACAUUGCCAUAUUUUUUUUCCUCAAUUGAUUUUUAACAUCUGAUAAUAAUUCUUAAAAGUACCAAAAUUAACAUAAUGUUGAAGAUAACAUGUAAACUUCUCAUAGAAGCUUAAAGUGAUCCGAAUCUCAGAUGAACAAAAAAAAAACUUGAAACAAAAUUAUGAAAGCACACCAAACUUUUUAAUAUUUAAAAAUAUCAUUUUGGUUGAAAAAUAAUUUUUCUGUGAUGUCUACAUCAAAACAAUUCUCAGAAAAAUUAACACCACUUAAGCAAAUAUACCAUGAGUACAUUUAAAAUAAUUGAAACAAGAAAAGAGAAAAAAGGAGAAACAUAUAUAAUAACCCUUGAUCAGGCAUGAAAUGAUUUUAAACAUUUAAAUAGUAAAUAUAAUUAAAAGAUCCUGUACAAAAAAAGAUAUAAGAGGCUCAUAUUCAUCUUUUGUCAAUCACAAGAACAGACCAUAGGUCUUCCCUCUUUUUGCCCAAAUCCCAUCCUAAGAGAUAGACAUGGCUGCAGUGGUUGCCAUGAAGGCCAUCCAAACUGCCUCGCCAUCAUCAUAUUAAGAUUGGAAAACCGAGCAUUGAAAGAGACCAUAAAGCCUUUAUGCUUCAUACAAAUGCAUAAGAAUCUGUGACUUGCCAACACCAUCGAGAAACAAUCUUGCGUUUAAAGGCCCAAAUGGUGAUUGGUCAAAUCCAUCAUUGACUUUUAUUUAUCAUCAUAGCCUCUUCGUAAUUGAAAAGCAAGAUACCGAGAAACAAAGAUGAAAACAAUACAGUGAAAUUUAUAAAAAUAAAUAAAUAAAUCAUCAAAGCUAUUAAAGGAUAAAAAGAAAAAGGUUGGAAGAAAAGAAGCAAUCAUCUUGAAUGUAUUAUUUCUUUCCCCACACCAAAAGAAGCUCCAUAUCCCCUAAAUACCUCAGUUAAAUUAGAAACCUAAAUGAGAAUAAAAAACUAGAGAACUAUUUGUUGUUUGCGGCAAACAAUGAUCAUUUAUGAUUAUUUUACAUCAUCUAGUUAAUAAAUGCUUAACCAAUGCAGGGGCAAC
rnacentral:lncRNA from 1 species